rnacentral:rRNA from 1 species
AGUGAACGCUGGCGGUAGGCCUAACACAUGCAAGUCGAACGGCAGCACAGGAGAGCUUGCUCUCUGGGUGGCGAGUGGCGGACGGGUGAGGAAUACAUCGGAAUCUACUCUGUCGUGGGGGAUAACGUAGGGAAACUUACGCUAAUACCGCAUACGACCUACGGGUGAAAGCAGGGGACCUUCGGGCCUUGCGCGAUUGAAUAAGCCGAUGUCGGAUUAGCUAGUUGGCGGGGUAAAGGCCCACCAAGGCGACGAUCUGUAGCUGGUCUGAGAGGAUGCUCAGCCACAGUGGAACUGAGACACGGUCCAGACUCCUACGGGAGGCAGCAGUGGGGAAUAUUGGACAAUGGGCGCAAGCCUGAUCCAGCCAUACCGCGUGGGUGAAGAAGGCCUUCGGGUUGUAAAGCCCCUUUGUUGGGAAAGAAAUCCAGCUGGCUAAUACCCGGUUGGGAUGACGGUACCCAAAGAAUAAGCACCGGCUAACUUCGUGCCAGCCGCCGCGGUAG